AAGAAAGAAGCAUUAGUGGUUGAAUGCGGUUGGCUUGAAACCAGUGUAUGAGGGUUCGAUUCCUUCCUUUCUUG
rnacentral:tRNA from 1 species